rnacentral:rRNA from 1 species
CCUACGGGAGGCAGCAGUGAGGAAUAUUGGUCAAUGGGCGAGAGCCUGAACCAGCCAAGUCGCGUGAGGGAGUACUGCCCUAUGGGUUGUAAACCUCUUUUGUCGGGGAGCAAAAGCCGGACGUGUCCGGCUGUGGGAGUACCCGAAGAAAAAGCAUCGGCUAACUCCGUUCCAGCAGCCGCGGUAAUAGGGAGGAUGCGAGGGUUAUCCGGGUUUAUUGGGUUUAAAGGGGGCGCAGGCGGAGUUUUAAGUCAGUGGUAAAAUCGUGGGGGUAAACCCCAGCCAGCCGUUGAAACUGGGGAUCUAGAGUGUGCGAGAGGUAGGCGGAAUGCGUGGUGUAGCGGUGAAAUGCAUAGAUAUCACGCAGAACCCCGAUUGCGAAGGCAGCAUACUGGUGUACAACUGACGCUCAGGCACGAAAGCGUGGGUAUCGAACAGGAUUAGAUACCCUAGUAGUC